AACGAACGCUGGCGGCAUGCCUAACACAUGCAAGUCGAACGAGACCUUCGGGUCUAGUGGCGCACGGGUGCGUAACGCGUGGGAACCUGCCCUUAGAUUCGGAAUAACUCCCCGAAAGGGGUGCUAAUACCGGAUAAUGUCUUCGGACCAAAGAUUUAUCGCCUUUGGAUGGGCCCGCGUUGGAUUAGCUAGUUGGUAGGGUAAAGCCUACCAAGGCGACGAUCCAUAGCUGGUCUGAGAGGAUGAUCAGCCACACUGGGACUGAGACACGGCCCAGACUCCUACGGGAGGCAGCAGUGGGGAAUAUGGGACAAUGGGCGAAAGCCUGAUCCAGCAAUGCCGCGUGAGUGAUGAAGGCCUUAGGGUUGUAAAGCUCUUUUACCCGGGAUGAUAAUGACAGUACCGGGAGAAUAAGCUCCGGCUAACUCCGG
rnacentral:rRNA from 1 species